GGCAAGAUGGCCGAGCGGUCUAAGGCGCUGUGUUCAGGUUCUCUCUUAGCUGAAGACCUUCGCAGUGGAGCAAUCCGCGCGAGUUCGAAUCUCGUUCUUGUCA
rnacentral:tRNA from 1 species